rnacentral:tRNA from 1 species
GGGCCGGUAGUUCAGCCUGGUACGAACGCCUGAUUCGCAAUCAGGAAGCCGCGGGUUCAAAUCCCGCCCGGUCCACCA